ACCCUCUCGGUGGUAUCCAAUCUCCGUUUUAUGGAUUCGGACUUCCUGCGUCACUGAACUUUGGCGGUAUUGGAACAAUAAUCGCACAUGAACUUACUCACGCCUUUGCCAGAGUGAGCCCCGUCUACAAAAAUAAUGCAAUAUCGAACUUACCGGAACAUGAAACAAAUAUAUUUAAACAGAGAGCGGAAUGUUUCGAGUUUCAGUAUGGAAACAUUACAGACAAAGAAACAGAAACUCAGCUCAAUGGAAAAGCAACUCUAGACGAAAACAUGGCCGACAAUAGUGGCUUGUAUAUUGCACUGAAGGUAAGUUCAAUCAUUGCUCUUCUGAUGCAGCGGGAC